rnacentral:rRNA from 1 species
CAGCAGCCGCGGGAAUACAGAGGGUGCGAGCGUUAAUCGGAUUUACUGGGCGUAAAGCGUGCGUAGGCGGCUAAUUGAGUCGGAUGUGAAAUCCCCGAGCUUAACUUGGGAAUUGCAUUCGAUACUAGUUAGCUAGAGUGUGGGAGAGGAUGGUAGAAUUCCAGGUGUAGCGGUGAAAUGCGUAGAGAUCUGGAGGAAUACCGAUGGCGAAGGCAGCCAUCUGGCCUAACACUGACGCUGAGGUACGAAAGCAUGGGGAGCAAACAGGAUUAGAUACCCCUGUAGUCCCUGUCUCUUAUAC